UGUAUGAACAAGCCCCCGGUGUCACAGCCUGUCCUGAAAUUUCAUUUAUCGUGGAUGUGAAUUGACGGAAUUGCCCUUAAAGGUGACUAAGGUAUGUUGGAAAUAUGCCCUAAAAGUCAAUCUUUGGAAGAAACCUUUCAGAACAAUAAAUGGAUGUAUAGAUGACUCUUAUACAUCAAAUGGCAAAGAUACUAUUUAGGACUAUCUCUAUAAAUGAUAUAUGUCCUAAAUGGUGAAUCCAUGGACAAUGGAUAGAUUGAAGAAGUAAUCUAAUGAAGUUAGACUACAGAGACCUUCUUCACAUAACCAUCAUGUCCAAAAGGUUCAUGGUCAUAAGAUUGUCGGAGGGAUACUGACAAUGCAUAGACCGGUACAUACUAUGUCCGCUUCGAUUAGAAGGAUGGAAAGUCUCAUCCCAUUCGUGUAGUGAUACUAAGACAAGUAUGCAGGUGCUCAUUAAGGGAAUGAGUUCACUGAACACAAUCGAACGAGAGUACUUGCAUGGAGGUCUACUCACAUGUCAAGCAAGUAACUCUAAUAGUUGGAAUAAUGUAAGUAGUCCUUUGACCUGAGGCAUCAUCAUUGUCUUGUGGUUAAGUACUUGAUCUUUGAUUAUGUCAAAGUCACUCCAUCCGCCGGUGUCCACGGCAUAGUCGGGGUUAAGCCACUUAGUCAUGAAGGCAAGUGAAUGUGCAACAAGGAAUCUCUAAUCCUCGUUAAGAGAGGAUGAAUACUCUAAGAUAUGAUUCUGGAAUCUUUGGCCGAAGUAUCGAGCGUAAUAAAGGAAAGCGUUCCUAUACGACUCAAUUGAAUCAUAUAAGAAGGAAUAAUCA
rnacentral:lncRNA from 1 species